AAAAAAAAAAAAUACUAAAAUUCAGCAGUUCCUUAUUCGCAUUCAAAAUCCUUAUCAUGAACCAAAAAGGAGCACUAGAUUCAAACAAAACCAGUUCCAAUCAACCAGUAUGAUUAGAUAUAUGAAAAUAAAUCGAUGAAUUUGACGACUUAUUCAAAAUCAAACAAAACCAGUUCUAGGGUUUAUAAAGCUUGAAGCAUCUCUCUCAUGGCAGGUUCAUUGGCAAUUCAUUUUCAUUUUUUAUGUAGAUAUCUAGCCGAUAUAUAGUUUGAUUUGAAUUUGAGUUUACAAGGAAGGACCCAAACGGUUGUCGUUCGAUUAAUGAACUGUGAAGCCUAAGGUGUGUUUUGAGGUUUGGGAAAGAUGGGUCAGAAAUGUAUUUUGAAUUUGAGAAGGAUGCAGGGAGAAUAAGUACAAGUUUGUAUCAAAAAAGAAAAAAACAAUGAACAGAUGCUGGUAUCGAGAUUUGAUUGAGAUAAUAAGUUGGGUCAAGUUGGAGACAUUCAUUUGGAUAUCAGUAGAGCCUUGCAAAAAUGGGAGCCUGGCCUGCGUCCAUACCUCAAAACUGGUUUCAAACUUUGGGUUUCUGGAAGAACAAGAUGAAGUGAAAGAUUUAUGGUUGCCCAAGUAAAGACGCACGGAUAUUGAUUCAAAACUCGAAACUGCUAAUGAUUUUCUAAAGGUGUACAUGAAAGGUACGAAACUUAGUUGCUGGUGGUGGCCAUUGAUCUAUGCUGGCUGAUUCAUGUUCCUAGAAAGAGUUGUUUGAAUUCAGCCUUGCUGACUGUGCGACUCCCUCAAAUGUGCCUGUGAUAAGUUGUGUACAUCUUAACAAAGAAUAUCAUCAAAUAUAUAAGAGAAUCUUAUCUGUGUGUAACACAAAAAAAAAAAA